rnacentral:rRNA from 1 species
CCUACGGGUGGCAGCAGUGAGGAAUAUUGGUCAAUGGGCUUACGCCUGAACCAGCCAAGUCGCGUGAGGGAAGACUGCCCUAUGGGUUGUAAACCUCUUUUGUCAGGGAGCAACGCCGGCUACGUGUAGCCGGACUGAGAGUACCUGAAGAAAAAGCAUCGGCAAACUCCGUGCAAGCAGCCGCGGUAAUACGGGGGAUGCGAGCGUUAUCCGGUUUUAUGGGGUGUAAGGGGUUCGUAGGCGGAAUGCAAAGUCAGCGGUAAAAUCGCGGGGCUCAACCUCGCUCUGCCGUUGAAACUGGAGUUCUUGAGUGCGCGAGAGGUAUGCGGAAUGCGUGGUGUAGCGGUGAAAUGCAUAGAUAUCACGCAGAACUCCGAUUGCGAAGGCAGCAUACCGGAGCCCAACUGACGCUGAAGCACGAAAGCGUGGGUAUCGAACAGGAUUAGAUACCCCUGUAGUC